rnacentral:pre_miRNA from 1 species
UAGGCAGGACUGCCAUGCAGGUGGGCUGCGCCACAUGAUGGCUUGUGUACGUGUGUGUGCAUGUGCAUGCCUG